AAAAAAAAAAUACAACUGUUUUCUAUACCCGGGUGCAGUGUGCAAUUCAGCAAAACGCACGCGUCUCUGGGUGGCAGCAUAAAACACACCAGUCAUUUUCCCGAAGGGUCCUUAGCAUGGUGCACUUACCUGGGUUUCUGCCUGCUCACGUAUGUCAGGUUAAAGUUUGAAUUACUUUGCCUUUCACGUUUGCUGUCUUGGUUAGCUUACUGGGCCUUUGUGUGGGUCCUGCACGACAUGGAGAAGAGCAGACACUGUUAAUUUUAAUGUUUUUUUUUUAAUAGGUCAUGUCAAAAGAAGUCAAUUAUUAAGCCCAUUUUAUAUAACCUGAUACUAGAGCAUUUUGAGGAUGCAAUGAGGUUGGUGCAGGGAACUGGGACCACGAGCUUUGAGGAUUUUACUGCUGUAUGCCGAGUUUAUUUCUCUUAUUGGGUGGGGAACGGAAUGACGCUUUAAAACGGCAGUUAAGAUCUUCCCAGAGGGUAGAAGCUAAAUGAGCAGACCUGCGAAUCAACCCUUUGCAUCUUUUACGCAUUGAAAAUUGGCGACAGUAUUUAGCAGUGAGUUUUGUCUCAUUGCUGUAUUGGCAUCAGGAAGGACUGUAAAUAUGAGUUUAUACUAAGACGUAUAAACUUCAGCGUAGUCAUACUUCAGUUGUGUGCGGUAUUACACUUAUUUGUUAUGCUGCACAUUUUAAAAGUUAGCGCAGUAACUAAUGCAUUUGUAAAUGAUUUUAUACCGGCAUAUGCAAGGUUAAAAAGGAACUUGCACCUCCCCGUCCCGCGGGCCGCGUGGAACCCCAGAAUAGUUAAGCUUAACUUCCCUUAACUUUUCUCAUUCAUUUUCAAUGGCAGCGCUUAAUAGUGCGGAUAUAAUAUUCUUUUGGCCACUGGGUGGUUUUUGGCGCUGUUUCGACGCUUCCGAAAACCUUAACUUAGUACCGACGGCACACGACUGGACACUGAUUUCGGAAAUCAGAAUAAUAACUGGGACUAGUAUUACAAUGAAUCUGGUGAUUCACCUAAAAACCCGGCACUGAUGGAACAGAAAGGACAGCUCUCCAAGAUGAAAAAGUUCUUCCCUGGGAAGGUUACGUUGUGCUUCCGAAGAGAAGAUGCGGUGUUGGUUAGCGGAGGAGCCAAAUAAAAACGUUACCUGCUACUUCAAGAGCAGUGCUAAUUGUAAACAUUGUAUUUUUACAUAUCCACUCUGUCCAGUUUAUUAGGAACACUUGUGUGGUUGUGAGACGUCUGUAGUAUCUCCACCUUGCAAAAUAAAGACUCAAUUUCAUUGGC